ensembl:lncRNA
AGUUUUGGGGUUGUUUUGGGGGGGAAAUGAGGGGUUUGGGGUAGGAAACGGUUUUGGGGUGAAAAAGCGGGGUUUUGGGUGUUUUUGGGGGGGAAAAGUGGUAUUUCGGUUGGAAAAGAGGCAGAAAAGGGAUAUUUGGGGCAGGAAAAUUGAUAUAUUCAGCAAAAAAAACUGGGUUAUUGGGCAGAAAAAAUGCACUUUCGGGUGUUUCAGAGUGUAAAAAGUGGUAUUUUUAGAGAAAAAAAUGUGGUUUUUUAGGUAUUUUGGGUCGGAAAAGUGGGGUUUUGGGCAAGCAAAACACUGUUUUGGUUGGAAAAAGCACGUUUUUGGGUAUUUGAGAAAGGGAAAGCGCUUUUUCGAUUGAAAAGAGGGGCUUUGGGGGGGUAUUUUGGGUGAGAAAAGCUCUCUUUUGGGUGGGUAAAGGACUUUUUUGGUCGGGAAAAUGCCUUUUGAGCUAUUUUGAGCAAGAAAAGCCUGAUUUUGGGUGGGAAAAGCUCAGUUUUGAGUCGGAAAAAUGCCUUUUUGAGCUAUUUUGGGUGGGAAAAUCUCUAUUUCGGGCAUGCAAAGCGGUAUUUUGAGUGGGGAAAGUGCUUUUUGAGGUAAUUUGGGUGUGAAAAACUCCGUUUUGGGUGAGAAAAAACUCCAUUUUGGGUGGGAAAAGCUCGAUUUUGAGUGGGAAAAGUGCCUUUUGAGCUAUUUUGGGCGGGAAAACCCCUAUUUCGGGCGCGCGAAGCGGUAUUUCGGCGGGGAAAAAGCGGCGUGUUUGGGGGGUUUGGGGGGAUUUUGGGGGGAUUUGUUUGUUUUUUGGGCUUGCCGUGACCACCCCCUGCGCGGUGCCGCCGCAGACCAGACCCUGCGGGUGUACACGUGCCGGGGCCGGGCCCUGCGGCUGCUGCGGUCGGCGCGGGGCCGCGACGUCGGCUGGAGCAUCUUGGACGUGGCCUUCAGCCCCGACGCCUCCCAGUGCCUCUACUCCAGCUGGUCCGACUACGUCUACGUCUACGACCGCGAGGUCCAGCGCCGCGUCCUCCGGGUCAGCCCCCGCGGGCGGGGUUGGGGGGGGCGGCCCCGUAGGUCGUCCGGUGGCCCCGUGGGUCGUUACGGGGUCGUGGUGGCCCCGUAGAUCUCGUGGUGGCCCCAUAGGUGAUGGUUGGGUGGUGGUGGCCCCAUAGAUCGUUAUGGGGUCGUGGUGGCCCCAUAGGUGAUGGUUGGGUUGAGGUGGCCCCAUAGAUCUCCAGGUGGCCCCAUAGGUCGUUAUGGGGUCAUGGUGGUCCCAUAGAUCGUGGUUGGGUGGUGGUGGCCCCAUAGAUGAUGGUUGGGUGGUGGUGGCCCCAUAGAUCAUCAGGUGGCCCCAUAGAUGGUUAUGGGGUCGUGGUGGCCCCAUAGAUCAUGGUUGCGCUCUGGUGACCCCAUAGAUCAUGGUCGGGGUGGUGGUGGCCCCAUAGAUCGUGCGGUGGCCCCAUAGGUUGUUAUGGGGUCGUGGUGGCCCCAUAGAUGAUGGUUGGGUUGCGGUGGCCCCAUAGAUCAUCAGGUGGCCCCACAGAUCUUCAGGUGGCCCCAUAGAUCGUUAUGGGGUCGUGGUGGCCCCAUAGAUCUUCAGGUGGCCCCAUAGAUGAUGGUUGGGUUCUGGUGGCCCCAUAGAUCAUCAGGUGGCCCCAUAGAUUGUUAUGGGGUCGUGGUGGCCCCAUAGACCUUCAGGUGGCCCCAUAGAUGAUGGUUGGGUUCUGGUGGCCCCAUAGAUCAUCAGGUGGCCCCAUAGGUCGUUAUGGGGUCGUGGUGGCCCCAUAGGUCAUGGUUGGGUUCUGGUGGCCCCAUAGAUGUUUAGGUGGCCCCAUAGAUGCUGGUGGGGUGGUGGUGGCCCCAUAGAUCAUCAGGUGGCCCCAUAGGUCGUUAUGGGGUUGUGGUGGCCCCAUAGAUCAUGUGGUGGCCCCAUAGGUCGUUAUGGGGUCGUGGUGGCCCCAUAGAUCAUGUGGUGGCCCCAUAGGUCGUAAUGGGGUCAUGGUGGCCCCAUAGAUCUCCAGGUGGCCCCAUAGAUCGUUACGGGGUCGCGGUGGCCCCCCAGCUCCUCGUAGGCUUCCGGUGGCCCCCAUGGGGCGCGGUCACCUCCUGGUGGCCCCCCAUG